GAUGAACGCUAGCGGCAGGCUUAACACAUGCAAGUCGAGGGGUAACAGGAAAAAGCUUGCUUUUUUGCUGACGACCGGCGCACGGGUGCGUAACGCGUAUAGAACCUACCUUUUACAGAGGGAUAGCCUUUAGAAAUGAAGAUUAAUACCUCAUAGUAUUGCGAUUUGGCAUCAAAUUGUAAUUAAAGAUUUAUCGGUAAAAGAUGGCUAUGCGUCCUAUUAGCUAGAUGGUAAGGUAACGGCUUACCAUGGCGAUGAUAGGUAGGGGUCCUGAGAGGGAGAUCCCCCACACUGGUACUGAGACACGGACCAG
rnacentral:rRNA from 1 species